rnacentral:sRNA from 1 species
GUUAAAAUUUUUUUUUGUAGAGACAGGGUCUCCCUAUGUUGCCCAGGCUGGUAUUGAACUCCUGGCCCCUAGGGAUCCUCCCACCUAAGCUUCCCAAAGUGUCGGGAUUACAGGUGUGGCCACUGCACAGGGCCAGGACAAGGAUUCUUAAUCCCAGUCCAGGAUGGGAAACCCAUGGCCGAGUGGGAAGAAACCAGCUGAGGUCACAUCACCAGAGGAGGGAGAGUGUGGCCCCUGACUCAGUCCAUCAGCUUGUGUAGCUGAGGUCUGGGCCAGGUCUAACCAGGCUCCCCACUCCUCCCAACCUGAGCCUGCCCUCUGAUCUCUGCCUGUUCCUCUGUCCCACAGGGGGCAAAGGCUACGGGUCAGAGAGUGGGGAGGAGGACUUUGCCGCCUUUCGAGCCUGGCUGCGCUGCUAUGGCAUGCCAGGCAUGAGCUCCCUGCAGGACCGGCAUGGCCGUACCAUCUGGUUCCAGGGGGAUCCUGGACCCUUGGCACCCAAAGGUAAGCUAUUCCUAAUGUAAUAGGCUGAGAGAGCAGAAAGGACUUCACGUCUGCAAGGGCUAUAGCACCCUUCUCCACCUUAUCCCCCUGCAACCCUGGGAGUCACACCCCUGGGCAGGAUAGGACCCUCCAACUCCAACACCAGUGUCCUGCAGGGCGCAAGUCCCACAAAAAGAAAUCCAAGGCCACACAGCCGAGUCCUGAGGACAGAGUGGAGGACCCUUCGCCUCCAAGCAAGGCCCCUUCCAGGACACGAAGGGCAAAGAGAGACCUUUCUAAGAGGACUGCAACCCAGCAGCCUGAGGGGACCAGCCUCCAGCAGGACCCAGAAGCUCCCACAGUGCCCAAGAAGGGGAGGAGGAAGGGGCGACAGGCAGCCUCUGGCCACCGCAGACCCCGGAAGGUCAAGGCUGACACCCCAUCCUUGGAACCAGAGGGGACCUCAGCCUCUUAGCAGGAGGGUCUCCUUGCUUGCACUCACCCUUUCUUAUUGUCUUGCCCUGAAUCUGGGGGUCUGAAUUCUUGGGAGCAGGCAAUACCUGAAGGUGCAAACAGGCCCUACGGCUGUUCCCUGCACAACUCUCAUGGUUUUAAUUGUACCCCAUCUUCCAUAUCUUUAAAGCUCAUGUAAAAAAUGCUGCAUUUUUAAUAAACUGAUAAAUGUGAA